rnacentral:rRNA from 1 species
AGUGAACGCUGGCGGUAGGCCUAACACAUGCAAGUCGAACGGCAGCACAGUAAGAGCUUGCUCUUACGGGUGGCGAGUGGCGGACGGGUGAGGAAUACAUCGGAAUCUACUUUUUCGUGGGGGAUAACGUAGGGAAACUUACGCUAAUACCGCAUACGACCUACGGGUGAAAGCAGGGGAUCUUCGGACCUUGCGCGAUUGAAUGAGCCGAUGUCGGAUUAGCUAGUUGGCGGGGUAAAGGCCCACCAAGGCGACGAUCCGUAGCUGGUCUGAGAGGAUGAUCAGCCACACUGGAACUGAGACACGGUCCAGACUCCUACGGGAGGCAGCAGUGGGGAAUAUUGGACAAUGGGCGAAAGCCUGAUCCAGCAAUACCGCGUGGGUGAAGAAGGCCUUCGGGUUGUAAAGCCCUUUUGUUGGGAAAGAAAAGCAGCAGGUUAAUACCCCGAUGUUCUGACGGUACCCAAAGAAUAAGCACCGGCUAACUUCGUG